GGCGGCAGUAGCGCGGUGGUCCCACCUGACCCCAUGCCGAACUCAGAAGUGAAACGCCGUAGCGCCGAUGGUAGUGUGGGGUCUCCCCAUGCGAGAGUAGGGAACUGCCAGGC
rnacentral:rRNA from 244 species